rnacentral:lncRNA from 1 species
UUUGCUUGUUCAAUGUUGAAAACACGACAUGGAUGCCUGAGGAUUCUGUGGUGGAAUAUUGGUUCAAGGGAAUACUGAUGAGUACCAUACCAUCCUUGCCCAAGCUUGAGUAUUGGCUCUCCUUUGCCUUCAUUCUUUAGGUAUUUACAGAGCCAUGGGACUCUUUCAUUGCAAUUUCUCACAAGAUCAUAAUUGAACUUUUUCGGUAGAUCGUAAACAAAAAUACCCUUUCCUUGGCAGUUGCUCUUCAUAGUUAUCGAAGAAGAAGAAGAAGAAGAAGAUGACCAUGAACGCAUGGUUUGUAUUUGUUCUUCAACAAUCUUAACAGCAAUGGCUUUUUCUUCCUCCUUGCUUAUAAUUCUCUCAUCAAUUGUAUUGUUUUUAAUUGCAGCAGUAGCAGUGAUAUUGAAUUUGGCAUGAUCACCGGAGAAGCCGAGGAUAUUUUGCUUCUGAGAGGAGGCACGGAUAUUGAAGAAUGACUCAGACAACAACAGAGUGCUGCACCACCAAGUCAUUAUGAUUCCCA